GUCCACCACCAAAACAAAACCUAAAUUCGCUUUCGCAUUUUCUCUCUCGGCUGCUCUCCGUUCUCUCUGAACUCACAGAGAAAAAAUCUCUCUGGAACUUUGAUUCGUGAAGAAUAUUGAUUGUUUUUGAAGAUUUCGUCUCCAAAUCGGUUAAAUCUCAUCAAGUUUUGAAGAUCUCUAGUUUGGUUAAUCUCGAAUAUCAAAUUCUAUUUUUUUUGGAGGGGUGUUGUAUAUAUUUGAUGAUGGGAUUCCGGAUGGCGCUCAUUUCUCCGAUUUUCUCGAGUUGUUACCAAUGUUACACAACCAGUGGUAGAGAGACGGGACUGGGUAGACUCAAGAUGUAAAUACCGGUGGUAGGUCCUAACAAUGAGUCAAGAUGUAAAUACCAAGCGCGGACGCCAUUUGAUUGAUGGUAAACUCAUAGAACUUCAUAGUUUGAGUUAGAUGUAAAUAAGUUUCUGAGUCGUGAUUGAUAGCUGUGCACUGGCUACUGAGUACUGACAUGUAGUUUAGGCGGUUCUCCACGAUUGGGGUGAUAAUGAAUGUAUUCAGAUUCUAAAGUUAUGCGAAGAAGCAGUGCCUCAAGACAAAGGUAAUGGUGGUGGGUUGUGAAUCUUGGAAUUUCGAGAGAUGGGUUAUCUUUAUGUGUCAUCUGUGUAGGCUUGUUGAGCAAGUGCUGGUGUGGAUGAAGGGGUGUUUGGUUUGGUCUUUGAUUAGUUUGUAUUUCGCUUUAUCCGCGUAACCGUUUGAAUUGUUGAAAACAUUUUUGAAUUCUUGAAAAUGUUGAUUAAAAAUGAAUGUUGGAAUUUUGGAAUUGCAUAAGGGUAUAAUGUGAAAUAUACAAAUUUACAUUUAAUUAUAGAGUUAUUAGAUAGUGGUUAAACAAACAUAAAUUUAGAAGGCUCUAGAUAGUGGUAUUCAUAUAGAGAUAGAGGUAAACCUCUAUAUAGAACCCUCUACCUAUAUAGAGGAGAAAACAAACAUGUUGUUAGUAUUUUACCCCCAAGUUUGGGUGUUUUUCUCUAAUACUUUUUUUUUUGUAGUCUCACUCCUAUGCCCAGCCUGUAGUUUCCUCCAUUAUACAAAGUGAGAGAUUGAGAAGGAGAGAGAAAAUGGUGGGUUUGGGUGCACUCAGAAACAUGAUUCGCCCAUUUGCAAGAACAGUUUUGAAUCGAAGCGUGGAACGUUUUCCUCUCGGAAUUUCAUCAGCUUCAUCAACUUCUUCAACACCAGAGUUAAGUCUGAAGCAAAUAAACGAAAAGUUCAGGUGCAAGAAGCUAAAAGGAAGAAGGUCGAGAAAAGAGUUGAGCGUAAGAUGGCUGCAGUAGCAAGGGACAGAGCAUGGCCUGUAAGAUUGGCACAGCUGCAACAGCUCGAGGCAGCUAAAGCAGCGAAAUCGUAAUUGAUGGCUAAUCUCAAACCAAACGAAGAAGCGUAUGUGUAAACAAUGCACUGUAUUGCUCCUUGAUAAGGGGACCUGAUAUGAUAUUGAAUCCAGGUCCUUGGACUUUUUCACCUCGCUUCUUGCCUUUUUUUUAUACCUUUUGUUUUGACCCUUUUUGCCUAGACUAUAUUUUAGUAGGUAACCCCCACAAGUUAGAAAUAUUUAUGUUAGUUGCAAAAUAAAGAUGGCCUUGAACUAUUAGUUUGGUUACUAAGCUAUUGAAAUCCCAUUUUUUUGUUUUCUUUGCAAU